rfam:Cricetulus griseus cell line CHO-K1, whole genome shotgun sequence.
GCCUCCAGGGGAUAAGGGCAUCUCUCGCCUCCUUUUCUGGAUGGACAUUUCUCUCUAAUAGUAAAUGGAAACUCCCUUUCUCAGCAGGCUACUUGCAGCGUCCUGGUAGCCCAGUGUGAUUGCAGAGGCUGCUGCUACCCCAGAAAGAAAGGCUCCCACAACA